GACGAACGCUGGCGGCGUGCCUAAUACAUGCAAGUAGAACGCUGAAGCAGGAGCUUUCUUCUCCGGAUGAUUUGCGCACGGGUGAGUAACGCGUAGGUAACCUGCCUGGUAGCGGGGGAUAACUCUUGGAAACGAUAGCUAAUACCGCAUAACAGUAAAUGUUGCAUGACAUUUGCUUAAAAAGUGCAAUUGUAUCACUACCAGAUGGUGCUGCGUUGGAUUAGCUAGUUGGUGAGGUAAUGGCUCACCAAGGCGACGAUACAGCGCCGACCUGGGAGGGUGGACGGCCACAAUGGGACUGAGACAAGGCCCAGGCUUCCUCGGGGGGGAACAGUAGGGAAUCUUCGGGAAUUGGCGGAAGGCUGAACGAGCAACGCCGCGGUGGUGAAGAAGGGUUUCGGGUCGUAAAGCCCUGUCGUAAGGGAAGAAAGAGAGUGAUAGUGAAAAGUUCACACUGUGACGGUACCUAAUCAGAAAGCGACGGCUAACUACGUG
rnacentral:rRNA from 1 species